UACGUAGGGUGCAAGCGUUGUCCGGAAUUAUUGGGCGUAAAGAGCUCGUAGGCGGUCUGUCGCGUCGAGCUGUGAAAACCCGGGGCUCAACCUCGGACUUGCAGUGGGUACGGGCAGACUAGAGUGUGGUAGGGGAGACUGGAAUUCCUGGUGUAGCGGUGGAAAUGCGCAGAUAUCAGGAGGAACACCGAUGGCGAAGGCAGGUCUCUGGGCCAUUACUGACACUGAGAAGCGAAAGUAUGGGGAGCGAACAGG
rnacentral:rRNA from 1 species